rnacentral:rRNA from 1 species
UACGUAGGGUGCAAGCGUUGUCCGGAAUUAUUGGGCGUAAAGAGCUCGUAGGCGGUCUGUCGCGUCGGAUGUGAAAACCCGGGGCUUAACCCCGGGCAUGCAUUCGAUACGGACAGACUCGAGUGUGGUAGGGGAGACUGGAACUCCUGGUGUAGCGGUGGAAUGCGCAGAUAUCAGGAGGAACACCGGUGGCGAAGGCGGGUCUCUGGGCAGUAACUGACGCUGAGGAGCGAAAGCGUGGGGAGCGAACAGG